UCGCUAAAGGAUGGACCCGCGGUGCAUUAGCUAGUUGGUAAGGUAACGGCUUACCAAGGCGACGAUGCAUAGCCGAGUUGAGAGACUGAUCGGCCACAUUGGGACUGAGACACGGCCCAAACUCCUACGGGAGGCAGCAGUAGGGAAUCUUCCACAAUGGGCGAAAGCCUGAUGGAGCAACGCCGCGUGAGUGAAGAAGGUUUUCGGAUCGUAAAGCUCUGUUGUUGGUGAAGAAGGAUAGAGGUAGUAACUGGCCCCUAUUUGACGGUAAUCAACCAGAAAGUCACGGCUAACUACGUGCCAGCAGCCGCGGUAAUACGUAGGUGGCAAGCGUUGUCCGGAUUUAUUGGGCGUAAAGCGAGCGCAGGCGGAAAGAUAAGUCUGAUGUGAAAGCCCCCGGCUUAACCGAGGAAUUGCAUCGGAAACUGUGUUUCUUGAGUGCAGAAGAGGAGAGUGGAACUCCAUGUGUAGCGGUGGAAUGCGUAGAUAUAUGGAAGAACACCAGUGGCGAAGGCGGCUCUCUGGUCUGUAACUGACGCUGAGGCUCGAAAGCAUGGGUAGCGAACAGGAUUAGAUACCUUGGUAGUCCAUGCCGUAAACGAUGAGUGCUAAGUGUUGGGAGGUUUCCGCCUCUCA
rnacentral:rRNA from 1 species